rnacentral:tRNA from 1 species
UAAAAAAGAGUCAAAAGAAACACAUCGAGAAACAAAGAAAGCAAGAAAUAUGUAGUAUCGCUACUACAUUGAAGG